ACGAACGCUGGCGGCGUGCUUAACACCUGCAAGUCGAACGGAAAGGCCCCUUUGGGGGUACUCGAGUGGCGAACGGGUGAGUAACACGUGAGUAACCUGCCCUUGACUUCGGGAUAACUUCAGGAAACUGGGGCUAAUACCGGAUAGGAAUCCUUGCUGCAUGGUGGGGGUUGGAAAGCUUCGGCGGUUUUGGAUGGACUCGCGGCUUAUCAGCUUGUUGGUGGGGUAGUGGCUUACCAAGGCUUUGACGGGUAGCCGGCCUGAGAGGGCGACCGGCCACAUUGGGACUGAGAUACGGCCCAGACUCCUACGGGAGGCAGCAGUGGGGAAUAUUGCACAAUGGGCGGAAGCCUGAUGCAGCAACGCCGCGUGCGGGAUGACGGCCUUCGGGUUGGAAACCGCUUUCAGCAGGGGCGAAGCUUGUGGUGACGGUACCUGCAGAAGAAGCACCGGCUAACUACGUG
rnacentral:rRNA from 1 species